ACUCCUACGGGAGGCAGCAGUAGGGAAUUUUCGGCAAUGGGGGAAACCCUGACCGAGCAACGCCGCGUGAAGGAAGAAGUAAUUCGUUAUGUAAACUUCUGUCAUAGAGGAAGAACGGUGGAUAUAGGGAAUGAUAUCCAAGUGACGGUACUCUAUAAGAAAGCCACGGCUAACUACGUGCCAGCAGCCGCGGUAAUACGUAGGUGGCGAGCGUUAUCCGGAAUUAUUGGGCGUAAAGAGGGAGCAGGCGGCACUAAGGGUCUGUGGUGAAAGAUCGAAGCUUAACUUCGGUAAGCCAUGGAAACCGUAGAGCUAGAGUGUGUGAGAGGAUCGUGGAAUUCCAUGUGUAGCGGUGAAAUGCGUAGAUAUAUGGAGGAACACCAGUGGCGAAGGCGACGAUCUGGCGCAUAACUGACGCUCAGUCCCGAAAGCGUGGGGAGCAAAUAGGAUUAGAUACCCUAGUAGUCCACGCCGUAAACGAUGAGUACUAAGUGUUGGGGGUCAAAGCUCAGUGCUGCAGUUAACGCAAUAAGUACUCCGCCUGAGUAGUACGUUCGCAAGAAUGAAACUCAAAGGAAUUGACGGGGGCCCGCACAAGCGGUGGAGCAUGUGGUUUAAUUCGAAGCAACGCGAAGAACCUUACCAGGUCUUGACAUCGAUCUAAAGGCUCCAGAGAUGGAGAGAUAGCUAUAGAGAAGACAGGUGGUGCAUGGUUGUCGUCAGCUCGUGUCGUGAGAUGUUGGGUUAAGUCCCGCAACGAGCGCAACCCCUGUUGCCAGUUGCCAGCAUUAAGUUGGGGACUCUGGCGAGACUGCCGGUGACAAGCCGGAGGAAGGCGGGGAUGACGUCAAAUCAUCAUGCCCCUUAUGACCUGGGCUACACACGUGCUACAAUGGACAGAGCAGAGGGAAGCGAAGCCGCGAGGUGGAGCGAAACCCAUAAAACUGUUCUCAGUUCGGACUGCAGUCUGCAACUCGACUGCACGAAGAUGGAAUCGCUAGUAAUCGCGAAUCAGCAUGUCGCGGUGAAUACGUUCUCGGGCCUUGUACACACCGCCCGUCACACCAUGAGAGUCGGUAACACCCGAAGCCGGUGGCCUAACCGCAAGGAAGGAGCUGUCUAAGGUGGGACUGAUGAUUGGGGUGAAGUCGUAACAAGGUAUCCCUACGGGAACGUGGGGAUG
rnacentral:rRNA from 1 species